CUUUUUUUUUUUUCUUUUUUAACUAAAUAAUUUGAAAUGCAAACAGAGAGAAAUUCAGAAAUAGGCCAUCCCAAGAGAACCUUGACAGAGGCUAAUUCAGCCCUGAACAGAACUCACAGCCACGGCCUGAAUUUGGAGAAGCACCAAAGCCAUAUUUUGUCACUUGGGUGAGAAAAGGAAGUGAAGUGAUAUCAGGCUCUGCUCCCUUCCCCACAAAUAGAUGAGGAAAGUUGUCUUUGCCCAACCUCUGCCCCCAAUUCAACAGGCCUUCUGCUCUGAAAACUUUACAUCAUUGGCUUAUUUCCACUCAUACUUGGCCGAACUGACAAAUAUAUCUGUUUACUCUGGCUUCGAGCAAAGACUAGGCCUCUCCAGGGCCUAGAAUUUAAAAUGCUUAGCAGUGUAGCUGAUGGAUAUUGGGAGGAUUGUCAAAGGAGAGUUUCUCCGGCAGAGUGAACAUAGGAGAUAAAGAGAUGGAUGAACUCUCAAAGAAUCAAGGGCCCAGAAAACUCCAGAAGCAUAUUUUCCUGCUCAACACUGACAUUGGAGGGAUACUUCAGAUACAUUUUUUUCACCACAUCCCCAUACUAACCCUAAAUUAUCCAAAACUUGGAAAUAAAUUGAAGAAAUGUUUAUCCUCUCAAUGCAUUGAACAGAUUCAUGAGAGGAUCAUUUAAUUAGGACUUUGAUUUUGCCAUUCAGUACUUGUGAAAAGGAUGUUAACUUAUAGAUUUCUGCCCCAGAAGUUACAAUUUCAUUGCCCAAAAGAACAUUAACCAGUUUUGUAUAUUUUAGCAAAUAAUUUCCACAUUCCUUUUGACUGGCUUACAAUAUAAAUGUCUGUUCCUCAAGUUUUCUUUUUGAACCACCUCUACCUUCUUACUGAGUCACUCAUUAAUUAAUGAGUUGAGUGAAAUUUUUACAGUAUUUACAUAAAGUAUUGCCUUUCAUAUGUGUCAUGUGUCAAGGAGCCAAACUUUUCCUCCACUCUCUCAGAUUCAGAACUCGGGGUCUGCAAAUUCAACUCAAAUGGACAAAUCAGCAAGAAAGAAAAUAGAUUUUAAACAUGUAUGUAUGGGAGUUUGUAAAAAAAGAGAUGUGACUAAAGGGGCUUAUAUAUCAGGACAAGUGGAAGGGGAGACAGACACUUGUGGAAAGCAAAUGACUUCUUAGAAGGACUGGUGUAAAAGAGCACUUAGAAGAGAUGGGGGAUAUGAUAGUUUUGUGACAAUGUCUGUUUUGGUGUGGUGCCAACUUCUCAUCACCAAGAUCAGAGUUGCUCUCAGGGAAGGGAUUUAUGACAAUUGAGUUAUUUUGAGUUCUUUUGAAAGGCUCUACUCUUGGGCAGAUAAAGACGUUCAGGAUCUCAUCCUUUACCUCAAAAUAAUUUUUAUGCAACAGCAGCAUAUUUUGGACCCCUUCAUACCUUCACAUGUUUUAUUUAUUUUUUAAUUAUUUUUUUUAAGAUUUUAUUUAUUCACGAGCCAGAAAGAGAGGCAGAGACAUAGGCAGAGGGAGAAGCAGGGUCCCUGCAGGGAGUCUGAUGUGGGACUCGAUCCCAAGAGCCCAGGAUCUUGACCUGAGCCAAAGGCAGAUGCCUAACCACUGAGUCACCCAAGUGCCCGCCUUCAUAUGUUUAAAUUUUUGGAAACUUAUUUUCCAAAUUGCAGGUGUGGAAAUGUACAUGUCAAGGAUAGCAGAAGAGCCACACCUUAGCAGGAUCAGAGCCAGACUUUUUUUUUUUUUUAAUUUUUAUUUAUUUAUGAUAGCCACAGAGAGAGAGAGAGAGAGAGGCGCAGAAACACAGGCAGAGGGAGAAGCAGGCUCCAUGCACCGGGAGCCCGAUGUGGGAUUCGAUCCCGGGUCUCCAGGAUCGCGCCCUGGGCCAAAGGCAGGCGCCAAACCGCUGCGCCACCCAGGGAUCCCUCAGAGCCAGACUUUAAAGCCAGUUCUGAGACUAAAGUUCUUCCCACAUUGCCAAAUUAAAUAGUUUGUGGCCUUGAUCAAGACAGUCCCUCUCCAGGCUUAGUUUCCUCAGAUAUAAACUGGGGCAGGUUGAAGAGAUGAUCUCCACAGUUCCUUCCAGACCCAGUGAUCUCUGGUAAAGUUAACUCCUUGGCAAAAUUAUUAAAAAAAAAAAAAAAAAAAAAAA
rnacentral:lncRNA from 1 species